rnacentral:misc_RNA from 1 species
ACAACCUCAACUCUCUUCUUCAUUGCGGAGAAAAGAGUUGGAUUUGAGCAUUUCCACAAGUUUUCCACAACUUGGAGGAUUGUUUGAAAUAUGAGGUUCGGCCGGCAGUUGCCUGGGCUACAAGCAUUUCAUACUUAAUCCCGUCAAACGGAUUAUAUCCUUUGCUGCAGCCAACAUACAGGGUAACUUGCCAGUGUUCCGACUGAUGCAGGAAAGUUGAGAAACUCUUUGCUUCUCUUCUAAAC